rnacentral:rRNA from 1 species
UCGGGAAUUUUGGGCAAUGGGCGAAAGCCUGACCCAGCAACGCCGCGUGAAGGAUGAAGUAUUUCGGUAUGUAAACUUCGAAAGAAUAGGAAGAAUAAAUGACGGUACUAUUUAUAAGCUCCGGCUAACUUCGUGCCAGCAGCCGCGGUAAUACGAAGGGGGCUAGCGUUGUUCGGAUUUACUGGGCGUAAAGCGCGUGUAGGCGGGUCGUUAAGUUGGGGGUGAAAUCCCGAGGCUCAACCUCGGAACUGCCUUCAAAACUGGCGACCUGGACCUAAGUAGAGGCAAGUGGAAUUGCGAGUGUAGAGGUGAAAUUCGUAGAUAUUCGCAGGAACACCAGUGGCGAAGGCGACUUGCUGGACUUAUGGUGACGCUGAGACGCGAAAGCGUGGGGAGCAAACAGGAUUAGAUACCCGUGUAGUCCCUGAGCGGGCUGGCAAGGCGCAU